CCUGGCGGCUAUACCGGAGAGGUCACACCCGUUCCCAUCCCGAACACGGAAGUUAAGCUCUUCAGGGCCAAUGGUAUUGCAGGGGCAACCCUGUGGGAGAGUAGGACGCUGCCGGGG
rnacentral:rRNA from 1 species